rnacentral:rRNA from 1 species
AAUGAACGCUGGCGGCAUGCCUAACACAUGCAAGUCGAACGAAGGCUUUGGCCUUAGUGGCGCACGGGUGCGUAACGCGUGGGAAUCUGCCCCUUGGUUCGGAAUAACAGUUGGAAACGACUGCUAAUACCGGAUGAUGACGUAAGUCCAAAGAUUUAUCGCCGAGGGAUGAGCCCGCGUAGGAUUAGGUAGUUGGUGUGGUAAAGGCGCACCAAGCCGACGAUCCUUAGCUGGUCUGAGAGGAUGAUCAGCCACACUGGGACUGAGACACGGCCCAGACUCCUACGGGAGGCAGCAGUGGGGAAUAUUGGACAAUGGGCGAAAGCCUGAUCCAGCAAUGCCGCGUGAGUGAUGAAGGCCUUAGGGUUGUAAAGCUCUUUUACCCGGGAUGAUAAUGACAGUAC